GGAAAGACACAUUAAAUUCAAUUUUGGUACGACGCAGUUCUUUAAAGCGACUUACGUCAACUGAAACGACACCGUUUUAGUAUUCUGUUCUUCUGUUCCGGGCAGGCCAAUCGUAUAUUCUCCCUUUCGGCAUCCUGCGAAAAUCGAUAUCUUACAGUAGUGGAAGUGGGUUCUUGUUUUUCACGGUGAGCGUAAUCCUCUAAUGGUGAUUCUUGUGUUCUUGUCCGAGCUUUCCACGAACUGAUGGUCUUCUUCAUGGAGGCUGUAAAUCUAUUGGAAGGUCUCUUCACCAAGAUCAGGCAAAGGAGCUGUGAUGGAAAUUGCAUGGUUCACCUCUCUUUCUAGAGGUUUAUAAUGAGACUGUUACAGAUUUACUUUCCCUGGAAAGGCCUCUUGUCGUCAGGGAAGGAUAAAAUAAGGUACUUGGAAAGUCACAUGUCUAUGGAGUCAUGAAAAGAUAAAGAAGCAAGGAAAAUGCUAAUCUGCUCACCUUGCAUUCAUGGAUCCACCCUGGGCAAACAUUGAGUACAAUAAUCCUUAAAAUAUCUCUUUUAGGUUUCGCAAUAUGAUUUCCAUUGGGGUUGCCCCACUGGACAAACAUUAGUGCAAAAUUUGUUAACCUUACACUUUGUAGAUGAACCUCAUGCAGAUUUCCUAAAGCCCAAAUUUAGUUGGUUCACAUUUGGGGCUAAAUUAAGCCUAAUUGAUGCUUGCAAUUUUGCCAUGUCUUGGGACUUUAGAGUCAAUUUUAACCAAAUUUAAGUGACAUUUUGGGGCUGAUUUAGUGGCCUUUCAGUCAUCUCUUUAGGAGCUUUGGAUGCAUACAAUCUCAAAAAUUUCAGUUCAAAUUUUCAAUAACAUUUAUUACCAUUUAAGCUUUUAGAGUUUUCAGCAAAUUUUUCAUACUUCGUUCAGUUUCAUUUGCCUUAGCACUUUCACUAUCUUUGUUUUCCAUGUUUAUACAUGAUUUCAUUGUUAAAGAUCUAAUAUUUUCCAAGUUUUAAUUUAGAUUGAAUACAUUCUAUAUUUUUAUUUAAACUUUUUAGCUAUUUUGCAAUUGUCAACAUGGAUGUAAUGAUGUGAUGUUUUAGUAGCUAAUUUCUCUAACUAAAGAAGGGUAUUUUAGGCUUAAUUUUAGGAUUGUUUUGUGUCUUGAUGGUGACAUGUUUUUAAUGUAUGAAAAUGCUUUAGAUUUGAUACCUAGAAUUUUUUAAAGAUCUUAUCUUGCUUUUGUCUUGAUUCUAGUUUAUUGGAUGCUUCUUAAUAUUAUUAAUGCUUAGCAUGAGGAAUUAAUUAGUAAUGAUCUUAUUUGAUCCCAUAAAUCCAAGGGUUGAUAGAAGACAAGAAGGGAUACUAUUUAAUUCUAAACCUAGUUUUUGGGUUCAAAAUAAAUAUUCAAGUAAAGUAUUAAUUGAAUUUUCACAUGAUCAAUGGAACAAAAAAUCUAAUCUUGACCAAUGGGCCCUCUCAGUGAAGAAGGUCAUAAGGCGCAAACUUCCUUCUUUGUUUGUAACUUAUGGGAGGGGUUUAUAUUGGAAUCUAAUAAAAAAAACAUAGCAGACAAUAACAAUAUUGCAUGCAUCCUUAUAUUUAGGGUUUUAAGAAAAGCUUGCCUAAACUUGCAUCUACAAGUUGAUAUGCUCGAUGAAGGGUUGAUCUAUCACUUUUUCUUGCUUUAAAGACUACAAGAGUAUCUUUUCUUUAAGUAUGUAAGACUAUGUGGAAGAUUACCAAGAACAAAGUGGAAGACAAAGAAAGAGAUGAAGGAAUCAGGGGCAACUCCAAAAAGUAUCUCCAAUAGUAUUGUUUAUGUUGGGAUUGAGCCUCUAAAAGCAAGACAUGGUGUAACAAAGUUAGACUUGACUAUCCCUGUGCUAUCUUUUUUACGCAUUGACAUUGAUUUGAGCAUUCAACCAAUAUCUCUUACAUUGUAUAUGACUUAAGUGUAUUAAGAGUUGCAUAAAAGAUAUAAGUCAUGGGUUCCUUGUAAGUAGAUGAGUUGUCCACAUUCAAUUCAUGGAUUUGGUUAAUUCAGUAGAGACUGUAGUGCACCACAUCCUACUUUGAGGGAUGACUUGUCUUGACCAUCAGGAUGAGUUUCUCAUAGUGAGUGCACUAGUAUAUGUGAUGCACAUUGGACAGGACCUAAAGUGAAUCAUGACGUAAAAUUAUCAAUUAUCAUGAUUUACCAAACUACUAUACUUUAUGAAUUCUCAAUCUUAAGAGGAUAUUAAGUUUGUCUUGAAAUCAAUAGAAGAUUUUGACCUAUGGGUGAGACUUAAAGUGGUCAUAUUUUCCUAUGGAUUGAGUCAUUGUUGAUGGAGGCUGGUGACAAAAAGUAUUUUCAAUAAAGACACUAUGAUAUCUCAUGGGACUGAGACAAUAUGUUCCUUUGGGUGAUACAAAGGAUAUGUGAUCAUGAAAUUUAUGAUCGCAUUAAUUCUUUUAGUGGAAUUUGACAUAUGCUAUUUGGAGGUAGAGUAUGUCAAUUGAUCAUAUAAUAAGUGGAAUUUAUAACUUAAGAAUUUGUGAGGUAAUCUUGAUAGGUGAUAACACUACCUUGUUAGAUUAUGGACGCUAGUUCAUAGGGAGCUUGAAUGUAAUGGAUAGUAGGUCAUGGAUCUGAACUUGUCUUUAAUGAGCUAGCCUUAGCUAAGACUACAAUUAUGGUGUACCUAAGACCAUAGUGCACCCUAGUCUUCUAAAUUAUUCUAAUUAAAUAUUGCACACAUAAAAAGGUAGUUAACAUGGGGACUACUCAGACCCAUAAAUAAACCCACUCCCACAAAAUUUCAAAAGUUCUAUAAUUGAUCUUUCUUCCACUAAAGAAUAUUAACUAUACUAGGGUAUUGUAUGAUAAUUACAAUGAAGAAUAAUUCAUUCCUUAAGUUGCGAUAUAUUAUAUGAUGUUCCCGUGAACUAAUAUCCAUAAUCUAAAUUGAAAAUUGCUAUCAACUAACUAGAUUACUUCUUAAUUCCUUGAGUUACAAAUCCAUUUUUCUAGGAUCACUUAAUAUUUCUAAAUCAUAAGAAUAAAUAUCAAAUUUCAACUUAAUGACAUUACCAUGAUCAUGGAUUAACUAUAAUUAUUUACCUUUAGAUUAUUUAAGGGGAUAUAUGUAACACCCAAGGGUUAAGUUAGCCCUAAACUAUAAUUUUGGACCCAUAGGCUUAAAUUUCGGGUCCCAUGGGUUUAAAUUUCUAUAGGCUUAAAUUUUGGGUCCUCAUUGUUUUUUCAAUUCAUAUGAGGCAUGAAUUCAUUUAUUUCUAAACUUGUACCACUACUUAAUUCCAUAACUCACUACUUGAUUCUAGGAGAGGGUCAAAUAUUACUAUUUAUAACUAUUUCUACAUAUAUAUAUAUAUAUAUAUAUAUAUUGUAAUGAAAUACACAACUAUUCUUGCAGCCUUUUGAGCUUUAAUAGUUUCUUGCUCAAAGAGUCAGUAUGACAUUUUCCAAAGUAUUUAAAUUAAACCAACCGUGUCGUAAAAUUUUAGCGAAUCAUUUUGGAAUGAUUUGAUCAAAAUCUUUUCCUUAAACAGAAGAAAAAUAAGCAACAUGACACACGAGUCAUUUGAUAUGUAUAUGUCCUCCUCCUGUACAAGAGAUCAAGCGUUUAACUAAAUUUGAUCUUCAAAGGUGAUAGACCAUAUGAUCAUACAAGAUGAAGUGAAGAUACAUGAACAGGAGAGCUCUCAAUGCUGAGAGUAAAUGCUUCAUUUUCUGAAUCACAACUUGCUCUCUUUUUCUUCUCAUCCCAAUGUAUUUCUAUGUACAUUCUGAUUUCUCUAGCCUGUUAGAUCAAUCAAUGAAUCUCUCAAUUUCUUCGGUUGGAACUCCUUGUUUGCCUUUCAGAUCAACAAAUAAAAUACUAUGACAUAUUAGAUAGAAGCCAAUUAACUACUGCGGGCAUGAAAAGCAGGAGAUGGUUUGGAUGUCCCAAGGAAAAGUGACUCCAGAAUUUGAAACAAGUCCAUUGUGAUUUACAUAGGAUUUCAAUUAAUGACCCCCUAGUAAAAAAGGGAAAAAAAACUGUUGAUAAUGCAAUAUUUUGUGUGCUAUGUAAAACAGCUUGGAGAGAUUGAUUUUCCAUGGGAUGUCCAGUUGUCUCCAACUCCCUACUCCCUAUUAGCAUUAAUUCAUAUAUUGCCCUUUCUUUAGUCAUACCUCAACCCUGAAAAUGUUCAAGACGUUGCCAUUAAAUGUGGUGAUGUUGGCAUCAACAACUUGAAGCCCUAAAACGUUGAUAGCCUCCAUCAGCCUUGCAAACCCACCUCGCUUCUGCUCACAUAACAACUUCAGCAAAAAUUCUCUUGUGCCAAUCAGCUUCACUUCUACUUGCACCUAUGCAAAAGUCCAGAAUGUAUUAUUCAUGCAUGUAUAUACAAAGUUCAUGAAAAAAAUAUAUUACUUAUGCCCUCUUUUUCCUCCCUAAAGUGAUGAGUAAGAAGUUUUUACUGACUCUUUGUGAUUCUAUUUGUUUCUUUUCGCGGAUACUAGAGCUGCCUCGGUUGUGUUCAGUAGUAGCUGGUGAGUAUCUAGAGCUUCUUUUCAAUUCAGCAUCCUUCAUAUUGCAGUCCUCUUGUUCCAUAUUGACCUCAUCCUGGAGUUUCUUCACCUCCUGCUGCAACUCCACAAUAUACUGGAUCGCAUCUCCAAGAAUUGAAGCCCUGUCCAUCUAAAAGGACAUUGAAAAUAUAAGAUUCUUGGAGUGGUAUUGUUCGCUUUCGGGCUUCUGCCUGGCCUUCUCAUUUUCUUUCUCAACCAUGGGAGUGGCACUAACUAAACCCAAACCCAAACCCAGCUGUUGCUUUAACAAAGUUUCAUUGUAAUGAUGGUCUGUAGAGAAUGAAGAUUUUUCAAUUGGCCGCUUCAAAGAUUUAUGUCUUGGUGCAAGACAGGAACUUGAAUCAAGUGAUGGAUGUUCAUUCAAACGAUCAGAAACGUUGGAAGAUCCUUCAAAACCACACAACAUGGAGGGUUGGGUUGCUGGGGGAAGAAAUUGUAGCUGGAGAAUGGAACUCAAGUGGAGCAGGGGAGGUGGAAGAUUGUCUGCGUACUUGCCGAGCAAUGGAUCAAGAGAGUUUUCGUUGGGACUCACACUGUUGCAGCUCCUUACUUCUUGUUCCAAAGAGAUAUGACACUGAGCUUUGACAAAGUCUAUGAUAUUCUGAUCUUUGGGUACCUAAAAAGGUGAACCAUUUCGAUACAAGUCUCAGGAUAUUUCAAUCAUGUUAAACUUUAGUAAACAAUCAAACAAGCCUUACAUGCUUUGCAAUGAAUAGCUCAAUAAGGCCACCAA